GACGAACGCUGGCGGCGUGCUUAACACAUGCAAGUCGAACGGAAAGGCCCUGCUUUUGUGGGGUGCUCGAGUGGCGAAAGGGUGAGUAACACGUGAGUAACCUGCCCUUGACUUUGGGAUAACUUCAGGAAACUGGGGCUAAUACCGGAUAGGAGCUCCUGCUGCAUGGUGGGGGUUGGAAAGUUUCGGCGGUUGGGGAUGGACUCGCGGCUUAUCAGCUUGUUGGUGGGGUAGUGGCUUACCAAGGCUUUGACGGGUAGCCGGCCUGAGAGGGUGACCGGCCACAUUGGGACUGAGAUACGGCCCAGACUCCUACGGGAGGCAGCAGUGGGGAAUAUUGCACAAUGGGCGGAAGCCUGAUGCAGCAACGCCGCGUGCGGGAUGACGGCCUUCGGGUUGUAAACCGCGUUCGCCUGUGACGAAGCGUGAGUGACGGUAAUGGGUAAAGAAGCACCGGCUAACUACGUG
rnacentral:rRNA from 1 species